AGCAGCCGCGGUAAUUCCAGCUCCAAUAGCGUAUAUUAAAGUUGUUGCAGUUAAAAGCUCGUAGUUGAAUUUCGGGAUCAAUAUGUUGGUCGUGCCUCGGUACGUACUAGCAUAUUGGUUUCUCCUUUCUGAAGAACCAUGAUGUCAUUUAUUUGGUGUCGUGGGGAAUCAGGACUGUUACUUUGAAAAAAUUAGAGUGUUUAAAGCAGGCUCACGCUUGAAUACAUUAGCAUGGAAUAAUGAAAUAGGACGUUUGAUUCUAUUUUGUUGGUUUCUAGGAUCGACGUAAUGAUUAAUAGGGAUAGUUGGGGGCAUUAGUAUUCAAUUGUCAGAGGUGAAAUUCUUGGAUUUAUUGAAGACUAACUACUGCGAAAGCAUUUGCCAAGGAUGUUUUCAUUAAUCAAGAACGAAAGUUAGGGGAUCGAAGACGAUCAGAUACCGUCGUAGUCUUAACCAUAAACUAUGCCGACUAGGGAUCGGAUGAUGUUAAUUUUUUAAUGACUCAUUCGGCGCCUUACGG
rnacentral:rRNA from 1 species